rnacentral:rRNA from 1 species
CCUACGAGAGUCAGCAGUAGGGAAUAUUGCUCAAUGGGGGAAACCCUGAAGCAGCAACGCCGCGUGGAGGAUGAAGGUUUUCGGAUUGUAAACUCCUUUUGUUCGAGACGAUAAUGACGUUAUCUAACGAAUAAGCACCGGCUAACUCCGUGCCAGCAGCCGCGGUAAUACGGAGGGUGCAAGCGUUACUCGGAAUCACGGGGCGUAACGAGCGCGUAGGCGGGAUAGCAAGUCAGAUGUGAAAUCCUAUGGCUUAACCAUAGAACUGAAUUUGAAACUGUUAUUCUAGAGUAUGGGAGAGGUAGGUGGAAUUCUUGGUGUAGGGGUAAAAUCCGUAGAGAUCAAGAGGAAUACUCAUUGCGAAGGCGACCUGCUAGAACAUAACUGACGCUGAUGCGCGAAAGCGUGGGGAGCAAACAGGAUUAGAUACCCGGGUAGUC